rnacentral:lncRNA from 1 species
GGAACUUGUGUUGGUAGAGAGUCUGGGGCUGCACAUCUGAACCUCCACCUGGAAGCACACUUGGGGGGAUACAAGCUAGAACUGGAGUGCCUGUUCUGAAAGGACCAGAAGUAAUUCAGCCUUACCAGGGUUUCUUAAGAGUAUAUUGGUGUUCCCCAGAAAAACUACAUAUUUGGGGAAAUGCUUUUGGAGGAGAGGGAUUGGCUUCUCAAGGAAAGUGCUUCCCAAGGAGCUCACAGUGAGGCCAAAAGGAGCUGGGAAAAGAAAGGAAGAAUGCAAACAGGUAUUCAGGAGUGUUGCUUUUCAUGUCAGGAUAUUCUCUGCCACUAGCCCACCAGGACAGCUGGUGACAUGACUUCACUGGGGAUGUUCCAGAGCCAUCUGGACACAUUCCUGUGCUCUGAGAUGACCCACUGUGGUCCAUUUCAGCCUGAACCAUCCUGGGAUUCUGUGAAACUGAAGCCAGCCAAGGACUGGAGGAGAGCUACCAUUCCUUUGAAAUUCCAUCAUCUUAGUCCUGGCUUGGGGGAUUGCUGGACUGCAACAGUAAUAGGCUGCUCAGCUCUCGGGAUGAGAGGACUCACCGCCUUGGAAUUACAGCUGGGAAAUGCUUUUGGAAAAACAGAAGAUGUGCUGGAGGAAGAUAGUGUUGUCUCUCUGGCCUGGCAGGUUUGUAUAGGUUCGGGCCUUUUUUUCCAUUAAGCUGAGAAAUUGAUUAUAUUAUUUGGAGGGAGGUAUUCCUUGGAAAACUCAUGAUUUACUCACAUGCCAUGUCCAUGAUGUUCUGUUGCUAUGACCUCAAAAGAAACAAACAGCUUCCUUGUCAAAAAGCCUCCAGCUCUCUUGAGCAGGCUGUGCCCUAAGAGGUCUGACUGUCUCCCUCCUCCUGUGGGUGUCUCCUGCUUCUUCCUUCAGGAUUUCUCCUUAGGUAUUUGUUUCCUGUCCUUUAUAAAUGGUCUGUGGAUCUCAGAGUCAAUCCACAGCUUCCAAAGUAAUUGUGUGUUUAUAGUAUUCUGGGAGGAAAAAGAUUUUAUCUUGGGAGUAAAACAAGAUGACAUUUCCACUGACUUUUGUAUUGUGUUUGAUUUCGGACCAUGCAUUGCAUUUUGCGUUUCAC